UCGGGAGGCAGCAGUGGGGAAUAUUGCACAAUGGGCGCAAGCCUGAUGCAGCCAUGCCGCGUGUAUGAAGGUCUUAGGAUUGUAAAAUUCUUUCACCGGGGACGAUAAUGACGGUACCCGGAGAAGAAGCCCCGGCUAACUUCGUGCCAGCAGCCGCGGUAAUACGAAGGGGGCUAGCGUUGCUCGGAAUUACUGGGCGUAAAGGGCGCGUAGGCGGAUCGUUAAGUCAGAGGUGAAAAUCCCAGGGCUCAACCCCUGGAACUGCCUUUUGAUACUGGCGAUCUUGAGUAUGAGAGAGGUAUGUGGAACUCCGAGUGUAGAGGUGAAAUUCGUAGAUAUUCGGAAGAACACCAGUGGCGAAGGCGACAUACUGGCUCAUUACUGACGCUGAGGCGCGAAAGCGUGGGGAGCAAACAGGAUUAGAUACC
rnacentral:rRNA from 1 species